UAGACCUUCAUCAGAUGUCUUAAGUCACUUAUAGGGAGUCAUUCCUGUUAUUUCUUACUUCAUGCUUUCUCCUUUUGUGGAGAUAAGUUUGUACUGAUAUCUCAUUCAUAGAACAUGGUUGUGUACUGGAACAGAAAAGAAAGGAGAGAUGGGCGGUGGAUGGUAAGUGCGAGCAGGUGUGGGAGGGGCACUAAGAUCAGGCCACAGCUCAACUUCACAGGAAGUUGAAGAGCUACUUAGCCUUUCCGAAAACUCAGCCUCACUAAAACAUUGACACUGAGGGCAAGUAAUCGGUGGGUUGAAAAUGGAGAAAUGGUCAUGGGAGAGAAGAGGUAUAAUAGGUUUGAACAUUUAUUUACUUCUUCACUUGUCUCCAAACUUAAUACUUUUACAAGCUAGAUGAAUGGGGACCUUGUGCAUGGUUACAUUUUCCAUCUUACAGCUUUCCUCUGGGUUAGUGAAUUUAACAAUAUGAAUGAAAAUAGAUGACACAAUUCUGAAGUUAAUAAAAGUUUGUUUGUUUUUUUUUUUUUAACUUAGUUUAGGUCACCAAAGGAUGAGCUCUAAAUAGGAAAUGGAAGGGGUAAAGAAGCAGGUCAUAUUGAAAAAAAAAAAAGAUAAUUAAAAAUUCCCCGUGGAAAUACCCCUUUCUAGAGCAUACUAAACUCUCAGUUGCCAUAUGUUGCUUAAAAAAAAGUAAUAUACCAAACUUUUUCAUAAUACAAACUAUAGAAAAGGAGGUUAUGGGAAAUCUCUUUAGUUGAAGAUCUUCAGAAAAGUGAGAAAUCAUCUGGGAAGAGGGGCUUUAGUUAGAGAAGUCUGAGAAACCCCAAAUAAAAGAAAUCAGCAGUUCCUAGAAGGAAACAGUUUGGUAGGAAGAAGGGAUUAUCCCAACUAAAAGGCUAAUGAAAACUGAUAGCUUGAGUGACUUCUGUUUGACAAGGAGAUUGUCACUAUUGACAGGAAUGACUGGCAGGGUGGAAAAAUGGAGGGGAUAAAGCUUCACAGAAAGACUUCAGAGGAAACUUUACACCUUCAAAACCACAGAUGUGAAGAGUAUAGAUCUCUAUACACUUCAGGGGAAAAACCUGUGCCAAUAAUGGAUUGGGUUCCACGAUGUAAAAGGAAAAACAAAUGGACUUUUUUCAUUACCUCAAUUUCUCAUUAUCUACAUCAACUCAGAACUGGCAAGAAGGUCCAUAGGGAAGACUAAAGGUUUUAAAAGGGGCUACUAUGAGUAUUAUGGGUUCUGUUCCACACUCAGAAAGGACAGCAGGAAGUACCCCCCAAC
rnacentral:lncRNA from 1 species